rnacentral:rRNA from 1 species
CCUACGGGAGGCAGCAGUGGGGAAUAUUGGGCAAUGGAGGCAACUCUGACCCAGCAACGCCGCGUGAAUGAUGAAGGUCUUCGGAUUGUAAAGUUCUGUGAUGGGGGAUGAACACAAUGACGGUACCCCAAUAGCAAGCCACGGCUAACUACGUGCCAGCAGCCGCGGUAAUACGUAGGUUGCAAGCGUUAUCCGGAAUGACUGGGCGUAAAGGGUGCGGAGGUGGUUUAGUAAGUUGGCGGUGUAAUUCCGGGGCUCAACCUCGGCGCUACCGCCAAAACUAUUAGACUAGAGUGCAGGGGUGGUAAGUGGAAUUCCUAGUGUAGCGGUGGAAUGCGUAGAUAUUAGGAGGAACAUCAGGGGCGAAGGCGACUUACUGGACUGUAACUGACACUGAGGCACGAAAGCGUGGGGAGCAAACAGGAUUAGAUACCCCUGUAGUC